GUGGCACACGGCUGAAUAACGAUAACAAAAUUUGCGGCCGCACUUGCCUUCUGCUCUUUGUUUCCAUGUGCUUAAUUUGGCGUUCACGUUGCCGUUGUUAACCUUGGUUAUUAUGGGUGAUACUUUCGGUGCGUGUAUCGUGGCCAAGCCGAAUUGACUUCGUAGGACACAACAGAUGGAACUGCCGUUGAGCAGCUUCGUUUGCCUUCAAGACCGAGUGCUGCUGAAAGCUUCCGGAAAGCUUCUUGUAAUCUUUCUGCAAACAACAGGACAGAAAAUAUGGAUUUUCCUUCCUGAUUUCUUUCUUGGCGGGAUCGAAUGGCUACGGUACCUGCAGCUUCAAACUGCAGCAUUCUGUUUUCCGACGCAUCGCACGCCUCUUAACAGUGUUGCAGAUCGAAAGCUGCCUGCUCCUCAGGAGUACCUAUGACGCGUGGCCUAACCAUUUCGGAGCCGGAGAGAAACUGCUACGCGUGUGCUUGGCUGCGAUGGAGAGCAACGACGUCACUACUGGGGCAGCACUGCCGAACGCAAGGAGCAAGCCGUUCAAAGAAGGCGGAGCCGGGGAAAAUUGAUGAAAAAAGGGGCGAAGAUUCUACAGGCGCGACGGAGACGCUGGGAGCAGUCAACCGGGAGGUGGAGCAGCGCCAUGUAGGGAGAGUGGAGGGGGGGUUACGACUAUGAGCGCACGAAGCGAUAAAUAGACACGUGCGCGCGCGCCCGGGCAGCCGUGCAAGCCAUCCCGUUCAAGAAGCCGCCGUCGAGCCAUCCGAAGGCGUUAAUGGAAGCCACUUCCCUCCUCUCCGGCCGGUGAAGGUGCCCUGACGCUGCCGCCCUGCCGAGCGUUGGGCCUCGGCGUCUUAAUUAAACUGUUCUCGGCGA